AAGGGAGGAAAGCGCCGGCAGUCGGCGCCGAGCCGUUCCCGCGUGGUCUCAUUGUUCCUGCCUCGAUUUCACGUCUAAACCUUCCGCGAUGGUACUUCCCGAUUACGACUUUCGAUCUACCGCGAUAUUUAGAGGGUAGAGAUUUAAAGAGCGGCAGACACUGUUUCAUAAGAUCUAUGUGAAGAUCUAUCAGCAUGGCCAUCAUGCAGACCUGCUGCUGCUGGCAGUCAGUUCGCAAAGGCAGCUAUGCCUGUAGCGUUUACACGCUGAUAUACUAUUCAUUGUUAGCGUGGACUACAAGUACGAUUUUUUUGGAGGAGAGUCAGUACCUGAAGGGAAAUGUUUCCCUACCAAAAUCUUCCAGCCUUCUAGAAUCGGGGACCAUAUCACCAACGACGAUUCGAUUCAACGGAAUGCUGCUUAUCUGCUCCUGUUGCGGCGUGCUGUGCAGCCUCCUUCUUUUGUACGGUUUAUUGAAGAACCAUAAACUGUUACUGAUACCGUGGAUCAUCGUAAUUAUUACGACCGGCAUCACCGACUUAGCACAUACUUUAUAUUUGCUCAUUGCCACACUUGACCUUAGUCCGACAAAAGUUAUGAUCUACACGUUCAGUUUCUUUCUACUUUGUUUAAACAUAUACUCGCUAUUGUGUGUCAUCUCGCAGUAUCAAGAAUAUUCAGCUGGUCGUGGCACUGCUGCGCACGAAUACAGGGUUCCAGUAGUGAGAUACAUGACUCAACCACCAACUACGACCGCUACCACAUCGUGUCCAAGUUCACGAAGAGGCGUGACCAAUAACGAGACAAAAGCAACACCGACUCAGAGUCCCACAAUAUGUCACAAUCCUCUGUUAUCGGAGAAAAGUCCGAGUACCGGGAGUCGGGUAUCACGAAAACAUGUACAGUUUCCAUCAUCGAGUCAGAUAGAGAGGCCAGGAAACGAGUUUACGGUCAUUGCAUUUGAUGACGAUCCAGUGGUUCGGAGAGAUUGAGUUUGAACAACGUUCCCAAAGAGGAGAAGGGGAUAUUACGGGUAUUGUGGACAUUACGGUUACUCCUAAGCCAAUACACAAUAACUGACAAUUAUUAUAAGGCAUUUUUACUUUUGAACGCACUUAGAAUCAUUUCCGAGUCAGUUACAGGAAAUUUCAAAUUUAAACAAACAGAGUAUACGUAUCUUGGAAAAAUUUUGUCUUGUAUCUAGUCUAGAAGAGGAAUCGGCGUUGGAUCGUCCUGAUAUAAAUAACAUGCAGAGACAUAUUCGAUGGCACGGAGUGCAUAAUAUAUUUUGUGCAAUUGGGACCCUUCCAAAAAAUUGGUGUAGUGAACACCCACUCAUAGUGAAAUUUCUCCAUUGUGAAAUUAAUCCAAUAGCAGAGAUCCUAGUAAAAUAUUCAUCGACAAUUGAGCGCAACGCAAGGGCCUGACAGCAACCCAACGAUUCUAUAACGAUUGUGAAUAUCAAUUUUCCCCGACGACAACAAGCAUAAUCAUUGCUCAUAAGAAAAAUAUAGACUUUGAAGCAUAAUUACAUUUAAUUAUUAAUAUUCCAAAUAUGUAUGUGAUAUUGUACGAUCUCGGUGAAGAAUCUAUUAUAUUAUUAUUGUUGUAAAUAUAUUGAAAUUUAUUGAUGGAUAAAGGAAAAUCUCAUAAA